CGGGCACACGCACGUCACGCAGCCUGCAGAGAGCAUAGAGAUUCAAUCCAAUGAUCGGCCUCUCUCCCUGUCUCCUCUCAGCUUCUAUCUAGGCUCUCUCGCUCGCUCACUCACAGUUGUGGCAGUCGUCGAAGCAGUUGCAGAGCCCGGUGGACCAGGCGGCGACGGGCGCCUGCGCCUGCACCGCGAACGCCGCCGCCAUCGCGCCGCCCGCCUGGUAGUAGCCGCCGCCGCCGCUGAAGGGGAUGCCCGUGGCCAGCGGCUGCGCACCUUCGUCUGCCGCCUUGGGAUACAUGGUGGAGCCGUGGAGGCGAGUCCAGACUCCAGAGAGACCGAGAGCUAGCGGAGCCCAGCGUUGGGCUUUUUAUUUAUUGCCUUGUGCGCG
rnacentral:misc_RNA from 1 species